rnacentral:lncRNA from 1 species
UUGGAUCCAUGGAGUAUCUGUCAUCUAUAUGAUCUGGGAUUCAUUAGGUCCUCGUCGAAUGCGGACUUCGUUCAUAGUGCCAUGUGAACGCCAACUAGACAGUGGUACUAUAUAUAUUAUAUCGAUCCCGCAAUCAUCCAAUUAGCAAUCUCGUUUGCCUUUGAUUCUCUUCUAGAUAUACGUUCCUAGACUACUUGCACGAUAAAGUACCUUGAAACGCAAGUUCCUUCAUCCUGAAGGUUAAACGAUUGAUUACACAAUAGCUAGUGAGCCGAAAACAAGAAUUGAGACUGCAAAUUGCAGUGUUUAAAAGUGGUGACUCUGUCACUUGGGCCUUGUGUCGUGCAAUCUCAUCCGCAAUGCUCAUGAAAAUCCCUUUCGGGACCCAAAUUUGUUGUCACAGGUGUCGAUCACUUCUGUAGCCUUCCAAUUGUGCAGCUCCACAUAUCUGCAAAAAUGAUCGCUGCUCGUGUCCAGGCCAAGCCAGUCGCUGCCGCUAAGCCGGCUCGCGCAGCCGUUGUGGUGCGCGCACAGAAGACCGAGGCCCAGGUGUGUUCACUGGAUGGGUUAGCUAAUUGUGUACCUUGCUCCCUCCAAGUGCUCUGAAGUGACAUUGGGGAAAUUGGAGCGGAUGGAUAGUGUAGAGAACACUGAUUAUACUUACGUGGUCUACACGUUUUACAAUCCAAUGUUUUCCAAUAUAAUGAAGCUUUGAAUAAACCAGUAGAUUGUUGCCAAAAGAGUGCACUGGCCUAGAUUGUUUCUAUUGGCGCUGCCACGUAGGCAAACUUUAGGUUUACUUUAUAAUCAAAGGGAUGGCUAGACCGGAGUCUGAGAACUUUGUUUCAUAAAAUUUCUGGGUACUGAUUUCCCCUGGUUUCCCUUGUACAGAAGCCCAAGGUCGCCCAGGCUGUGAUGGCCGUCCUGGCGUCCACUGUGAUCGCCCUGUCGUCCUCGUCGGCUGCCAAGGCCGAGGUAAGCUCGCGAGCAUCUCCUCCGCAUGAUCACUCCACAUCACCAAGCACUGCAUUGUAUGCGAGUCUUCCAUGAACCCAAGUAUGGAAAAUGCGUUAAGGGUAGUUCAUGGCGUACGGAUUGGCACUGAGAUGACUGAAUAGGAAUGCGCUGACGGGUGUGAAUGUUCUGUACCCUGAUCCCUUCCCUUACAUCAGGCUACCGUCAAGCAGGUUGUGUGCGCGUCCAACCCCACCGCCAAGGUCUGCCUGAAGGGUAGCGCCAAGUCCUCGUAAACACUUUACCCGAGCGAGCAUGCAAGCAUCGCGCUUCGCUCCGCGCCAGUAACGUGGCCUGAAUCCAUACCAAUUUUGAUUGGAGCAUUGGGCUGUGUGGUUCAGCACGAGUGAGCGGACGCCCGGCCUUGUCGUCAUGCCUAGCCAUGGGGCAAAUGAUGAAAAGAUAAUGUAACAAAAUCUAAUGCAA